CGGUCCGCAGUUCACCGAGGCGUCGCCAAUCCCAGAUAGGGAUCGCUAAACCUGUUU
rfam:Thalassobium sp. R2A62 genomic scaffold scf_1112329232034, whole genome shotgun sequence.